rnacentral:rRNA from 1 species
UACGGAGGGAGCUAGCGUUGUUCGGAAUUACUGGGCGUAAAGCGCACGUAGGCGGCUUUGCAAGUCAGAGGUGAAAGCCUGGAGCUCAACUCCAGAAUUGCCUUUGAGACUGCAUCGCUUGAACACGGGAGAGGUGAGUGGAAUUCCGAGUGUAGAGGUGAAAUUCGUAGAUAUUCGGAAGAACACCAGUGGCGAAGGCGGCUCACUGGACCGUUGUUAACGCUGAGGUGCGAAAGCGUGGGGAGCAAACAGG